rnacentral:sRNA from 1 species
CUAAAAUCUCCCUUCUCAUUAACUUUUGCAGCCCUCUGAUCCUUUGUUGUAGCACCAGAGACUAGCUAUCAGCUGCUCUGAGCAUGUUUGGCCGUUAAAAAGGCAGAUUUUGGAAAUAAUGUUGAGGCACUUUUAGAACUCAAGGGCUGUGCUGCGAGGAGGAGCUUUCGGAUGAGCUUGGGGGAGGAGUGGUUGUCAGUGAAGAAGAGUUACGAAACAUUGUGGCAUAGGUAUGAAUGAGUAAGAUGUAAACUAUUAGGUCGCUGAGUUGUAAUUGAAAGAUUAUAGAUUUCAUACAAGAAGGUCACGGACUGUGCUAAUAAUAGCCGCCGCAUUGCUAGUUUCAAUAGGUGGUGUAUUGUAGUAGUUGGUCGUUCAACCUUCUUCUUCCGUAGCGCCUCAUUCAUGUGGCGAUCGAUAACGGCCGUCAUGACAAAACAUGCGCGCAAUUGUCUUGUCGAGUGCUUUAAUAUUGGAGACUUCUGUUAUUAUAUUUCCUCUAUGGUAGAAGGGCCCAAUUUAC